rnacentral:misc_RNA from 1 species
AAAAAAAAAAAAAAAAAGGGACAUUAAGUCUCAGAACUAUGCAGAAUCCCCAUUUCAAAACAGUAUAGAUUGCCACUACAAAAGCCACUCCAGCCACACCAAAUCGAGUUGGUGUGCCCAUAUACUACCAACUACAAAGUAAACCUUUAUAGAGAUUCUUCUCAGUUUAACUUGAACGCAACCUAUCCUCCGUUUCACACACUUCGAUAUCUUAAAAGAUACGUGAUGAAAAGAAUCAACUAUAUGUUACAUGUGAGUGAAUCCCAAUAUACCCAGUGAGUUCUUUUCUUCAUUCCCUAUAGACUCUGAUGGGUUCUAUAUAUUUAUGAAGAAAAUGGGAAUCAUAGAGUAUCGGACAAUUCUCAAGGAUCAGGAUUGAAUUUUACAGAUUCCCUCCAGAUAAGCUCUUUGAUAUUUUCCUCGGUAAAUGUUGGCUGCUCAAAAUCAAAGAUGAAAGGGCUUGGGCAAACAGGCUCCUCGUUGAUAUCAUGAAGUGGUGCCAAGUAAGGAUGGCGCAGUGCCCCAUCAACUGUAAUGCGCCUGUUUGGAUCAAAGACUAGCAUCUGCUCUAACAAAUCAACAGCACCUGGGGACAUAUUAGGAAAUCUAGCAGCAAAAUUUUGCCUUGGGUAUUGAGGAAGCUGCCUAACAUAUCUUCGAGCAUUAUCACUUCGUAGGAAGCCAAGGCUGGAGUCAUCCGGUGAACCAAUGAGCUCUGUUAUAAGCCUCAGCUGAUGAACAUAGUCUUUACCAGGAAACAAGGGUUGUCUUGUCAUGAUUUCACCUAGUAUACAACCCACUGACCAUAUAUCAAUUGCUGCAGUGUACUCUGAACAAUUAAGUAGUAAUUCUGGUGCCCGAUACCAACGAGUAACAACAUACUCGGUCAUAAAAUCUGUUUCGGAUGUUGUUCUUGCAAGACCAAAGUCUGCAAUCUUAAGGUCACAAUUAGCAUUCAGAAGCAGAUUGCUAGGCUUGAGAUCACGAUGCAAAACAUGUGCUGAAUGUACAUAUUUGAGCCCUCGCAUUAACUGAUAAAGAAAAUACCGACAAUGAUCAUCUGUCAAUGGUUGGUUGGAGCGAAUUAUUUGAUGAAGAUCAGUAUCCAUCAAUUCAUAAACAAUGUAGACAUCAUUGAAGUUCUCUUUCUGGGGAGGUCGUAUGAUGUCUCUAAGAGCAACAAUAUUUUCAUGGUCCAUGUGUCGAAGAAGCUUAAUCUCUCGCAAUGUCCUUUUAGCAUCUAUCCGGUUGUCAAAAGCAUUACCAAUUUUCUUAAUGGCAACUUCUUCUCGGGUCUCAGAAUUCACAGCAGCACUGAAGGAAAUAAAAAAUCAUAUCUUCCUUCACGAUGUUGGUAAGAAAAAACAAUCGAGUCAAAUGUAAGGAUGUCACUAUUUAGAGUUCACCAGAACACUAGUUCUCUGGAAAAGUAGCGGAACAGGUUUCAUACACUUUUCUUGCAGAAACAUUACAGAGUCAACUGGAAAUAAUCAUCAAACAUGCUGCAGACUAGUCAAUAUUCUGGAAUAAUAAUAGGCACAGUAUACCCAUCAAAACAAAUUUAAGAGAUAAAACCUAAUUGAACAUUUUAUCUAUUUCUUCAUAGCUUACAAAUGUACCGAUGCACUGAUUUGUAAGUGAAACUAGUAAAUUCCAAUAUUUUAUCUAUUUCUUCAUAGUUUACUAAUGUAAUGAUGCACUGAUUUGUAAGCGAAACUAGUAAAUUUCAACUUGCCAGACCAAAAAAAAAAAACCUCAUAAUUAGAUUAAAAUGAUGAUAACAGAAGGUUCACAGCGAAAAAUAAAACAGAAGAUAUUUCAGAGGCAAAUUAGGACCACAAAAACCUGAUCGAAUCACGAGAAUAAAGUCAACUCUAUAUGUUUCAAUAAAGAUCAACCUAAUUACAGUUGAAAAUUAAGCUAAUUUUGUAAAAAUAUUAUGAUCUGCAUAAAAGACUCACUACAACACUUGAAUACAAAACAAAUUCAGGACAAAUCUCCACUCCAUCAGCAAACUUAAACAACGGACCAAAAAUCUUUCGAGAUGAAGAAAACAAACCAUCAUAAAAACAAGAAGAUCUUCGUAGGUAAAAAAGAGGAUAACAAGGAAGUGAUUAAG